GAUGAACGCUGGCGGCGUGCCUAAUACAUGCAAGUCGAGCGAACGGACGAGAAGCUUUCUUCUCUGAUGUUAGCGGCGGACGGGUGAGUAACACGUGGAUAACCUACCUAUAAGACUGGGAUAACGUCGGGAAACCUGAGCUAAUACAGGAUAAUAUUUUGAACCGCAUGGUUCAAAAAUGAAAGACGGUCUUGCUGUCACUUAUAGAUGGAUCCGCGCUGCAUUAGCUAGUUGGUAAGGUAACUGCUUAACAAGGCAACGAUGCAUAGCCGACCUGAGAGGGUGAUCGGCCACCCUGGAACAGAGACACGGCCCAGACUCCUACGGGGGGCAGCAGUAGGGAAUCCUCCGCGAUGGGCGAAAGCCUGACGGAGCAACGCCGCGUGAGUGAUGAAGGUCUUCGGAUCGUAAAACGCUGUUAUUAGGGAAGAACAUAUGUGUAAGUAACAGUGCACAUCUUGACGGUACCUAACCAGAAAGCCACGGCUAACUACGUG
rnacentral:rRNA from 1 species